rnacentral:rRNA from 1 species
UACGUAGGGUGCAAGCGUUAAUCGGAAUGACUGGGCGUAAAGCGUGCGCAGGCGGUUUUGUAAGUCUGUCGUGAAAGCCCCGGGCUCAACCUGGGAAUUGCGAUGGAGACUGCAAGGCUUGAAUCUGGCAGAGGGGUGUAGAAUUCCACGUGUAGCAGUGAAAUGCGUAGAGAUGUGGAGGAACACCGAUGGCGAAGGCAGCCCCCUGGGUCAAGAUUGACGCUCAUGCACGAAAGCGUGGGGAGCAAACAGG